GACGAACGCUGGCGGCGUGCUUAACACAUGCAAGUCGAGCGAGAGAAAUUCCUUCGGGACGGACUCUAGCGGCGGACGGGUGAGUAACACGUGGGUAACCUGCCUCAUAGAGGGGAAUAGCCUUUCGAAAGGAAGAUUAAUACCGCAUAAGAUUGUAGUAUCGCAUGAUACAGCCAUUAAAGGAGUAAUCCGCUAUGAGAUGGACCCGCGUCGCAUUAGCUAGUUGGUGAGGUAACGGCUCACCAAGGCGACGAUGCGUAGCCGACCUGAGAGGGUGAUCGGCCACAUUGGGACUGAGACACGGCCCAGACUCCUACGGGAGGCAGCAGUGGGGAAUAUUGCACAAUGGGGGAAACCCUGAUGCAGCAACGCCGCGUGAGUGAUGACGGUCUUCGGAUUGUAAAACUCUGUCUUCAGGGACGAUAAUGACGGUACCUGAGGAGGAAGCCACGGCUAACUACGUGCCAGCAGCCGCGGUAA
rnacentral:rRNA from 1 species